rnacentral:lncRNA from 1 species
GAGUUCCUCGAGGAUCCAUGGCGACCCAUCAAGUUCGCCUCUACUCCUCCAGCAACGCAAGCCAGCCUAGCUACCACCUCUACUGCUGCAGUUUCGUAUUCUUAUACGUAUUUUGUUUCUCUGCAGUGUUUCUUCUUUUCUGUACAGCGGGUGAACUGAUAUGAGGUCUCCUCUUGGUCUGUGCAGUAGUGGAUCGCACGCACGUUUCAACUUAAACGUACAAUAUGUUUUCGGCCCUAGAUGUGCGCGUGGUGCGUAGGUCGAUGGACGAGCGCGACGACGGCUCACGGCGGGCAUGACGACUGGUGGGGCGCGGCGGGCAUGCGUCUCCGGAGUUCAAGGUGUGCUGCGGUGGAGGGCCUGGUCGUCUGUUCUACUACGUCGUUCGAGUGGCUCCGAUUAGGAUAUGCCCAUUUGUGGUUCUCUGAUCUGGGUGCUGCUCCAUGCGGUGCGUUAGUUGUUCUGGUGGUGGUGGUUGCGAUGGUGCUGCGGUGGUGGAUGGCGGCUUCGGCUGGGGUGGUGGUGUAUGUCUGGCCGCGAUGGAUCGUGGGAUCCUGCGGCCAUAAUGAGGUCGGCCUCAACAGUUGGUGAUUGGUGGGCAGUUGUCAGUGGCGAUAGGUGUUUGGCGCAACUCCGGGAGAAAUCUUUGCUCUGAUCUCCAUCGGAUUAGGUUCAAAAGGAAUUGUGAGUGAUAAAAUACCCUGAAUCCGGUCCAAAUUAUGCCAAAAUGAAAUUACCCGAUCUGAAACCCCUAAACCUAUUCUAUAUAUAAAACAAAGAGAGUACAACGGAAGGGCAUUACCUCCCCGGCAAAGUUGAGCAUGUCGUUGCCACUGCUCUCCUUCAAGUCUGUCCAAGAAGACACUGCGGCAACAACGGCGAGGCUAGGCGGCGGCGGAGACAGCGCAGAGGGGAGCGAGGCAGAGGAGAGCGAGGCAGAGGGGAGCGAUAAUAACCGUGUGAGCGAGAGGAGAGGAUGGGAACGCCACUCUUUCCCCUUAUGGAACGGGCCGACCGGCUCGGUGCCUAUGACCGUUAGCGGCCGUUAGCACGGUGUCGUCAUAGCCGUCGGGCAAACAGGCGGUUGGCCACGUCAAAACGAGAUCAAAUUUGGGUUCAGUGUUUUUUGCCAUGAUGAUUCUCAACAACAUAUAUGCAUCUCAAUUCCAGCAAGUUCGAGUGGUUAACGAGAUUUCACACAUGCAUGCUCUCUCUCAUAUAUUCACAAACAAUAACAAGGACCAUACCAUGAGAAUCCUCGAAAGGCUGGGUAUGAAGGACUGUUUCGAUGGGAUCAUCUGCUUCGAGACUCAAAACAAGUCGUGCAAGUCACGGCCAUGGGACAAGGUCGUCACCUCUCAGAUCUUUGAUAUCACCAGACACUUGGCCCGUUC